GCCUGUUUCAUUUUGAGUAGCCGCUGUGAAGUCGAUAGAACAUCAUCUGAUCACCAGACAAUUUUGAGAGCAUGGGCUGUAAAAGAUUUUGCCCCAAAUUGUCCUCUGUAUGUUCAGAUAUUAAAACCAGAAAAUAAAUUCCACAUCAAAUUUGCAGGAUCAUGUUGUUUGUGAAGAAGAGUUUAAGUACGCCAUGUUAGCUUUAAACUGUAUAUGCCCAGCAACAUCUACACUUAUUACACUACUGGUUCAUACCUCUAGAGGGCAAGAAGGGCAGCAGUCACCUGAACAGUGGCAGAAGACGUAUGGGAGGUGCUCAGGAAAUGAAGUCUACCACAUCGUUCUGGAAGAAAGUACAUUUUUUGCUGAAUAUGAAGGGAAGAGUUUUACCUAUGCUUCUUUCCAU
rnacentral:lncRNA from 1 species